rnacentral:rRNA from 1 species
UACAGAGGUCUCAAGCGUUGUUCGGAUUCAUUGGGCGUAAAGGGUGCGUAGGUGGCGCGCUAAGUCAGGUGUGAAAUUUCGGAGCUUAACUCCGAAACUGCAUUUGAUACUGGCGUGCUUGAGGACUGGAGAGGAGACUGGAAUUCCCGGUGUAGCGGUGAAAUGCGGCAGAUAUCGGGAAGAACACCCGUGGCUAAGGCGGCUCUCUAGUACGGUACUGACGCUGAGACGCGAAAGCGUGGGGAGCCGAACAGG